AACGAACGCUGGCGGCAUGCCUAACACAUGCAAGUCGAACGAGACCUUCGGGUCUAGUGGCGCACGGGUGCGUAACGCGUGGGAACCUGCCUUUAGGUUCGGAAUAACUCAGAGAAAUUUGAGCUAAUACCGGAUAAUGUCUUCGGACCAAAGAUUUAUCGCCUUUAGAUGGGCCCGCGUUGGAUUAGCUAGUUGGUGGGGUAAAGGCCUACCAAGGCGACGAUCCAUAGCUGGUCUGAGAGGAUGAUCAGCCACACUGGGACUGAGACACGGCCCAGACUCCUACGGGAGGCAGCAGUGGGGAGUAUUGGACAAUGGGCGAAAGCCUGAUCCAGCAAUGCCGCGUGAGUGAUGAAGGCCUUAGGGUUGUAAAGCUCUUUUACCCGAGAUGAUAAUGACAGUAUCGGGAGAAUAAGCUCCGGCUAAACUCCGUGCCAGCAGCCGCGGUAAAGUGACUACUG
rnacentral:rRNA from 1 species